UUGAUCCUGGCUCAGAAUCAACGCUGGCGGCGUGCCUAACACAUGCAAGUCGAACGCGAAAGCCCCGCAAGGGGUUAGUAGAGUGGCAAACGGGUGAGUUACACGUGGGUGACCUGCCUCAGAGUGGGGGAUAACGACCCGAAAGGGUCUCUAAUACCGCAUAACAUCCUGCGUUUGGAGACGCGGUGAUCAAAGCCGGUGAUCGCAAGACCUGGCGCUUUAAGAGGGGCCCGCGGCCGAUUAGCUAGUUGGUGAGGUAACGGCUCACCAAGGCAACGAUCGGUAUCCGGCCUGAGAGGUCGGACGGACACACUGGGACUGAGACACGGCCCAGACUCCUACGGGAGGCUGCAGUGGGGAAUUGUUCGCAAUGGGCGCAAGCCUGACGACGCAACGCCGUGUGGAGGACGAAGAUUUUCGGAUCGUAAACUCCUUUCGAUCGGGAAGAAUAGCUUCCGGGUGAAUAGCCUGGAAGUCUGACGGUACCGAGAGAAGAAGCUCCGGCUAACUCCGUGCCAGCAGCCGCU
rnacentral:rRNA from 1 species